UUCAUGGUGACAUGCUCUCUUAUCCAUACACUUGACCAUGGGCCCCACACAUAGGGGCCCAGAUGAUCGUGGCCAUGAAGGCGGUGUCUCUGGGCUUCGACCUGGACCGGGGCGAGGUGGGUGCAGUGCCCUCACCUGUGGAGUUCAUGGGCUACCUCUACUUUGUGGGCACCAUCGUCUUUGGGCCCUGGAUAUCCUUCCACAGCUACCUACAGGCUGUCCAAGGCCGCCCACUGGUGAGCUCCUGGGUGGCCAGGUGGGUAGGGACUGUGGGAGCCGUCAUGGGACAGUGCUCAUGGAUCCUUGAUCCCACAGAGCCGCCGAUGGCUGAAGAAGGUGGCCCGGAGCCUGGCGCUGGCCCUGCUGUGCCUUGUACUGUCCACUUGUGUGGGCCCCUACCUCUUCCCC
rnacentral:lncRNA from 1 species